rnacentral:rRNA from 1 species
UAAUGUAUGGGGAUCUGCCCGAUAGAGGGGGAUAACUAUGGAAACGGUGGCUAAUACCGCAUAAUGUCUACGGACCAAAGCAGGGGCUCUUCGGACCUUGCACUAUCGGAUGAACCCAUAUGGGAUUAGCUAGUAGGUGGGGUAAAGGCUCACCUAGGCGACGAUCUCUAGCUGGUCUGAGAGGAUGAUCAGCCACACUGGGACUGAGACACGGCCCAG